GAUGAACGCUGGUGGCAAGCUUAACACAUGCAAGUCGGGCGGGGUGAUGGUGCUUGCACUAUCACUUAGCGGCGGACGGGUGAGUAAUGCUUAGGAAUCUGCCUAUUAGUGGGGGACAACAUCUCGAAAGGGAUGCUAAUACCGCAUACGUCCUACGGGAGAAAGCAGGGGAUCACUUGUGACCUUGCGCUAAUAGAUGAGCCUAAGUCGGAUUAGCUAGUUGGUGGGGUAAAGGCCUACCAAGGCGACGAUCUGUAGCGGGUCUGAGAGGAUGAUCCGCCACACUGGGACGGAGACACGGCCCAGACUCCUACGGGAGGCAGCAGUGGGGAAUAUUGGACAAUGGGGGGAACCCUGAUCCAGCCAUGCCGCGUGUGUGAAGAAGGCCUUGUGGUUGUAAAGCACUUUAAGCGAGGAGGAGGCUCUUUUGGUUAAUACCCAAGAUGAGUGGACGUUACUCGCAGAAUAAGCACCGGCUAACUCUGUGCCAGCCGCCGCCGUAA
rnacentral:rRNA from 1 species